rnacentral:piRNA from 1 species
AUCUCAUUACGAUGGGUGGUUGUGA